rnacentral:lncRNA from 1 species
ACAACUGCCGCAAUUCUAGAAGCCCUAAUUUUGUCUUGAAGCCCAAGUCGUUCUACUACUAUAAAUACGAAGGCAAGCAUAUGGUUUCAAGCAUCUAAAAUCGUGUAUUACAAAGCGUGUGUUUUUAGGGAUUUUAGAGUGUUAAUUGUGAGCCUAUCUUGUGUCUCAUUGAUGCAAGCUUAGGACCUGAGUGUUACUGAGUUGUAAGUGUGAACUUCUCCUAAGC